rnacentral:rRNA from 1 species
AUUGAACGCUGGCGGCAGGCCUAACACAUGCAAGUCGAGCGAGCGGCGGACGGGUGAGUAAUGUGUGGGGAAAUGCCCGAUAGAGGGGGAUAACUACAGGAAACACUAGCUCAUAUCGCAUACUAUCGGAUGAACCCCUAUGGGAUUAGCUAGUUGGUGUGGUAAUGGCUCACCAAGGCGACGAUCCCUAGCUGGUCUGAGAGGAUGAUCAGCCACACUGGGACUGAGACACGGUCCAGACUCCUACGGGAGGCAGCAGUGGGGAAUAUUGCACAAUGGGCGCAAGCCUGAUGCAGCCAUGCCGCGUGUAUGAAGAAGGCCUUAGGGUUGUAAAGUACUUUCAGCGGGGAGGCGUUACCCGCAGAAGAAGCACCGGCUAACUCCGUGCCAGCAGCCGCGGUAAUAC